rnacentral:rRNA from 1 species
AUUGAACGCUGGCGGUAGGCCUAACACAUGCAAGUCGAGCGAGCGGCGGACGGGUGAGUAAUGUAUGGGGACUGCCCGAUAGAGGGGGAUAACUACUGGAAACGGUAGCUAAUACCGCAUACUAUCGGAUAACCCAUAUGGGAUGAGCUAGUAGGCGAGGUAAUGGCUCACCUAGGCGACGAUCCCUAGCUGGUCUGCGAGGAUGAUCAGCCACACUGGGACGGAGACAGGGCCAGAAUCCUACGGAGGAGGCAGUGGGGAAUAUUGCACAAGGGGCGAAAGCCUGAUGCAGCCAUGCCGCGUGUAUGAAGAAGGCCCUAGGGUUGUAAAGUACUUUCAGUCGGGAGGCGGUACCGACAGAAGAAGCACCGGCUAACUCCGUGCCAGCAGCCGCGGUAAUAC